rnacentral:rRNA from 1 species
UACGUAGGGGGCUAGCGUUGUCCGGAAUCAUUGGGCGUAAAGAGCGUGUAGGCGGCCCGGUAAGUCCGCUGUAAAAGUCAAAGGCUCAACCUUUGAAUGUCAGUGGAUACUGCCGGGCUAGAGUCCGGAAGAGGCGAGUGGAAUUCCUGGUGUAGCGGUGAAAUGCGUAGAUAUCUGGAGGAACACCGGUGGCGAAGGCGGCAUCCUGGACCGACACUGACACUGAGGAGCGAAAGCCAGGGGAGCAAACGGG